UGGCCGCAAUAGUGGUGCGCCUAGAAGAGGGCCACCCCUACAACUGUGGGGCUCCUCCCAUCCAUACAAUGUCUGUGGUUAAAAUAAGGAGGGCACCUCUCAUCUAUACACAAACUCUCCUUUGACUGGGAGGCUAUAUUAUGGUAUAGAAUAGAUGGCAUCAUUAUCCUACAUUGAUUAUGAUUUAAAGGAGACUCUGGUUUAUAUAGAAAUGAUCAUCCUUUCCAUGUGAGGCAUCUUUUGAAGGACAAAACUGUGAGGC
rnacentral:lncRNA from 1 species